UACAGAGGGGGCAAGCGUUAUUCGGAAUUACUGGGCGUAAAGGGCGCGUAGGCGGUCUGCUAAGUCGAACGUGAAAUCCCUGGGCUCAACCCAGGAACUGCGUCCGAUACUGGUUGGCUUGAAUCCGGGAGAGGGAUGUGGAAUUCCAGGUGUAGCGGUGAAAUGCGUAGAUAUCUGGAGGAACACCGGUGGCGAAGGCGACAUCCUGGACCGGUAUUGACGCUGAGGCGCGAAAGCCAGGGGAGCAAACGGG
rnacentral:rRNA from 1 species